AUGGCUGAAGGGAGUGCCUGUUUCUACUGGGACGUGGCGGCCACGAGCUACGGCCAUGGAGGUGUUGCACAACACUUCGUCCAUAAUGAUGGUGGUGCUCUAGCCAGGGGGGUCAUCGUCCCGGGAGCCGUAUCAAGGGCUUUUGGUGGCAUCAACGAGAUGGAUCCCACCAUCCUCCCCGGCUACGGUAGCAGCAACGCCCCUAUGGCAAUCAUGACACCUGCUCGGGAGCCGCCGCGUGCCAGAUCUAGCGGCCGGAGGCUCACACGGUUCAAAAGGUCCUGGACCAUGGAGGAAGACACGUUGCUCAAGGCGAAGGUGCAGGAAUUUGGCAAAGGGAAGUGGACGAAAGUCGCGUUGUACCUCCCCGGCCGGAGCGGGAAGCAGUGCCGGGAGAGAUGGGUCAACCAACUUGACCCCAACAUUGAGAGGAAAAUAUGGACCGACGCAGAAGACAUCAAGCUGAUCGAGCUGCAUCAAACCUGGGGGAACCGCUGGUCGGUGAUCGCCAGGCUACUCUCAGGCCGGUCGGACAACGGCGUCAAGAACCACUGGAAUGCCACCAAGCGCAGUCUGAACGCGAAGCGCCGGCUCAAGAAGAGGAACAACAAGCAGCCACCUCCUGGCCAGCUCUCCCUUCUUGCGGAGUACAUCCGCAGCAUGGAGCCGCACACCAGAUCACCCGCGGAGACAUCUCUGGUGUCCCCACCAUUGUAUCAUGACCAAGAGCAUGGUGGGAAGAAGGGGAUGGCCGGUAGAGAUGCUCCCGUCAUCAUCGCCCCUACCGCGCAGGUGCACCCGACCUACCCCAAUCCGGCCAUGACUGGUAUGCACUACCACCCAAACCUGGCCAACAUGCAGUACUGGGCGCCGGAUUUGAAUGUCACCGAUGGGCCAAAUGAGGGGUACCCAUACUACAUCCCUCCCAAUACGCACCUCAACAACUGCCUGCCAUAUGGUUUGUCGCUGACACAGAUGGUUAGUGAGCAAGACAUCCAGCAGGCGGCCAAUGCGAGCAUGAACAUGUACGCUUUCACCGGACAACAUUCCCUCCCGGCGAGCAACCUAAAGGAGGUGGCAGGGAUGCACCGUGAGUGCUCCGCCAAUAACCAACUGGGCAACAUGGGCGGUGGAGCUGGCGGCUGGUCCUACUACUACGGCAUAGACGCCGCUGGUCCGAGCAGCCCUGCUGGAGGUAGUGCCAGCGUUAGCGACCCUGAUGACAUCGACGUGGUGCAGAUGGCCUCGAGGGUGUUUGCCGCACAGUACUAG
rnacentral:rRNA from 1 species